UGUUGUGUUGGGUUUGAGCAUACUUUAAAGUGCAUUUAACAAGUGUUUGUGAGUGUUUUUGUUUUUAACGUGUUUUGUUUGCCCGAACCUACGUGUGUGCGUGCGACGUGCGUGUGAUUGUUUUUUAUUUUAAUUUUGAUUCGUUGAUUUUGUGAUUUUUGCGAUAAAAAAAAUCGUCCGUUCAAACGUUUCGGGUUUUUGGGCAUAGUGUGAAAAUUAGAGUGAAAAUAAAAACGGCACACGGUAUUGAAACGAGAAAUGGCAGCACCUAAGGUUGCAUCCAACGGAGCCUAUCGGCUCACCUGUCACAUGCUGUUUGCCAGGGCCGACGCAAUGCGGCCAGUCGGGCACAGAGGAAUGGCCGCCUUGUUCAACAGCUUAGCUAGGAACCAAUCGUUGCGGAAGGAGGCACUGAUUGUGUGCGCUAGUCGCCGAUUCUCCACCGCGACAGAAGCGAGCGGAUGCAGCAAUCGAAGCAACAAAAGUACCCGAAAACCCAGCAUCAUCGAGAGCGUAGCCUGUCGCGGAUAUAGCAACACUUCCAGCAAACGCGACACCAGCAGUGAUACGAUGAGCAGAAGACACAGCAGCAGUAGUAGCAGUGCAUCCAGCACGACCACCAGCAAUGCUCCCGAAGAAGUAAGCGUUCGGUACUAUCGCGGAUUGCCCCACGUCACCGUACCACUGCCCUCGCGGAACGAACGCUGCCAGUUCACGCUGCGACCGGUAACGCACUGUGUAGGCGACUUUCUCGACAUGCUGAAGAUGGAGGACCGUGGCAUCGACCGGGCAGCCAUUCUUAACCGUGAGGGAGUCCGGAUAGCGGCCGCUUGCUCCAUCGAGAACCUGAUGGACGACGAGUUUUGGCUGCAUCUGAACGACAGACAAUACUACGUUAAGCCACCGAAACGUGAAAAAAUUACCUCAGAAGAAAUCACUAGACUAGGCGACGUACAGGCACUCGUGGCACAGCUGUACGAAGCACUGCACGUGGGCGAACAUCAGGUUCAAAAGGAGCGAGAACUUAACGGCAAGCUGGAGCAGCUGAACGAGAAGCUUGGCCCAUUGGAAGCGAAAAAGAACGAAUUGGACCAGAAGGCGGCACGAAAGACGAAUGCCCUAACCUGGGUCGGAUUGGGUCUGAUGUCGGUACAGUUCGGUGUGCUCGCCCGGCUAACCUGGUGGGAAUACUCCUGGGAUAUUAUGGAACCGGUGACGUACUUCGUCACGUACGGUACGGCAAUGGCUGCGUACGCUUACUUCGUCCUUACCAAGCAGGAAUAUCUCUUACCGGACGUGAAAGAUCGUCAGCACCUGAUCACGCUUCACAAGGCAGCAAAGAAGGCGGGCGUUAAUCUGGCCGAAUACAACGACAUUAAGCGACAAAUAGCCGAAAUCGAGCACGAUCUGCGCCGGCUGCGUGAUCCACUGUACAUGCAUCUGCCGGCACCACCGCCAAAGACCAAAACGUUUAGCGCGAGCGAAAUUGCAUUGGCGAAAAAGCAACAGCUAAAGGCCACGCUUGAAAUGCAACCCGUGGUCGAUGCGGCCGGUGGUGCGCUCAAGAGUAAACACUAAAAGGCAUACUUCGGACCACAUAAAGUUGCUUGUAUGAUGUGUGUGUGUGUGUGUGUGCGUGGGACUAUCGUAGAAGCGAAGCGAGAAGUCUUUUUUGAUGCGGACGCAGUAAUGUUAAAACCAAGAGUUAAAAGAGCAAAAGAAUAGCUCGGAAUGGGGCGCGAUAAUGGUUGUAAACAGCUCGGAUAAGCAACAAUCAAUUUUAAAAAUCACGAAACAAGGUAACAAAAGCGCUGGGAAAAUCGAUUAAAACCCCACGGAACCCAUUAAAAAGCGCACAAAAGCGUGUAUGAAUAUGGCGGGCCACGCAAAAAAAACCACGAGGUGUGUACUGUAAUAGUGAUUCGAUGUAAGCUUUUUCCCGCCAUCGAAUCAAAAACAGCGCUAGCGAGAGUGCUUUCCUAUCCUCGGCCGCAUAAGGACUUUCCGCGUGGCCGUAAUACAAUGCGCGUAUUGGGAAAAGAAUGGUAUAAUGCUUCGGUUCGAGUGCCUAAAAGGUGCCCUUGCCACAACUACUACUUAAUGCCUCACAAUCAAAACGCGCGCACAACCUUCUGUGUUUGGAGGGUCAGUACUUAUCGCACACAUCACCACAUUAAAAGGCGCAUAAUAGUAAGCAAACCUCCUACGUAGCGAUUCUGGCGGCGAAAUUCAUGGCACUGCUUUAUCUAAAUCUAAAACAUCGAGCUUUCCCAUACAAACUCGCAGCAAAUGGAAAUGGAGCGAAACACUGCUAAUACACGGUAAGCUUUCAUACGCCUCCAGAAGGCUUUAACAAUCUUUAAGCUGUAUUUAACGAAUGCGAAUGAAACGAAAACAAACAAACAAACAAAACAAAAAAUCUCCCUUCUUCUAUGCCUCGGAUAGCUAUAGCAGUAUUAGAGUUAGUAAUCUUUCAACGCGUAACUUAAAUCUUCAAGGUUUAAGCUUACAGAAACUUCGACGAGAGAGGACGAGUAUAGAAGCAAAACACUCUCUUAAGCGUGUGAAAAACAAGUGCAAAAAAAAACACACACACAGUUCCACUAGACAAAAUCGAACGAAAAUCUUGGAUAGAAAAAUAACUAAAACUACCUUCGAAGCGAGUGAAAACAAACAUAAGUCAAAACAGCACGCACAAGCACAUGCAGAAUCUAUCGUUAAAGCUGUGACCAACCGAACUGUAGUGAUCGUUUCACGAUUGGUGGUGGGAAAACCUUCACGUUCCACCACCAACGUUUGAUAAAUCCUUUUUAGAGCCAUUUUUAAAAAAGAAACCCUACCUUAUAAUCAGCCAUCCCUAGCAGCUGGGACAUGGAGGCGCUGGGACUUCCUCUAUCUGUCCAAGCGGGCAAUCCACUUGCUGGUUAGAGAAUUAGGCUUAUCUUUCACUAUCUCUCUUCACUCUUAAUAGUUCGAAUCGCGUAUAUGAAAUAGUUAAACCUCAAAGCUUUCUCCAAACACUCUUUACCCAUGUUAUUAAACCUAUAUAGCUUAUAAAAAAAAGCACAGAAAACAAUCUCUAGCUGCGUACUGUUGACUAGCGCCCUGGUCCUGGUAACGUUUCUGCUCUCUUAUCGGCAUCUCUGUACCAGGCGGUAUCUGUAGCACUUUACACUCACUUGUCGAGCUCCAAUUAGUCCUUGGCCUACACAUCCGUUCUUCACACCUUUAGCACCACAUAUCUUUCCGGUUCGGAGUCCCCUUCGAUUGUUUGUAGCUGUUUGUUGAGGGAAUGUUCGUACCUUGUAACUUUCGCUUUAACGCAUUUUGCCUUUUUCCCCGGUGCUCCCAGGUUUUUGUAGCUAGCUAAAAUCGAACUGAAUCACUGGUUAACUGAUAAUUCUUCUUCCAAUUUCACCAACAUACUAUUGAAUGCGGCACGAAACCGCCCCUUACUGUUCUUACCCUUUGUUCAAAAACUUACCCACAUUCGGCAUCCUACGCAACAAGCGAGUAUUAAACAACGAUAGUGUAACCCGUUUAACUAAACAACCCUUUCUAUCAAAAGUGCCAAUAUAAGCAGCAAAAACCAAGCAAAAACCAGAAACGAAAUAAGAGAAUCGAUCGAGAAGAAAGCAGCAGAUGAAACAUGAAAACUACAAGCACGUACCCCAUUCACUCUCUUACCUCUUGGCGAGAAGGAAAAUCACGAACAAAAAUGGUUAUCCGUCUCUUUGUCCCUAUCUCUAAACUUUAGAAGCUAGUGAAUAACAACCGGGUGCGGGUUUUCCACUUUACCCACGCACGCAGUCAUUACUACCUUUAAUGGGAGAUUAAAUAAGAUUUAGCAAAACCAGCGAUAGUAGAAUAGAAAAAAGGAAGAAAAAUAAUAGAACAAAUGGGGAGCGGUUGAGAAAUGUUGAAACCAAACUACCUAUUCUCAAGAAGAAGUAACACGGUUCACUGGGAAAGAAGGUAGUCUUACAAUAUUUGCAAAAACAAAGGCAAAGAAAAAAAGAUGAAAAACUAAUAUGCAACGAAACGAAGGCAAAGCUGUUGUGUAUAAUAACUGAAUAAUAUAAUUUACUACUAAAAAUGAAGAUGAAUAUGCAAAAGGAACAUGAACAAGCAAGACACAAACAGAAAACAAGCGAAUUGAUUUAGCCGAAACUGUGCUUAAGGAGAACAAAAUGGAAAUCAGAUUGCAAAUCAGAUGAAUGAAGCGAAAAUAGUCAGCAAACAAAAUACAAAUACAAAAGAAGACACCACAGUAUGAUAGAGUGUGACAGUGGAAAGAGAUGUAACAAGUAUUUGCCCGUAAGGUGAAAAGUUCAAUUUAAAAUAUAUCCGCAAAGUAUUAAUAAGCAACCGAGCGAAGCAACAGCAGUGAACGAAGGGGGAAGUGAGGUACAUAACAAAAACGCACACACGAUUUCAACCGUUAAACCAGGCAAAGCCAGAAACACUAGAGGAACUAACAAAUUUAACAGAUAAGCGAUAGGACAAAGUAACCUGACCAGCGCGUGUUUCGCAACUUCCUUCAACCUUACCUUUUAUGUGACGACGCGCGGCGGAUGACUUAAAAGAAGCAACAAUUGCAAGCAAUCUCUUACAACGCAGAAACUCAUUCGCUAAUCAAUACUGCCCCUCUCUAGUGAAUGAGGCAGGGCCCGGUUUUAAGUCGUGUCGGUUUAACUAUGCGUUAACCGUGCGCGUUUGCCAUUUGUUUAACCGUUUAUUGGAUUAUCGCCGAUGAGGGUGAAAAUGGCUGACGAAAGGACAUUUGUUUGUACAUAUAAUUAAUGCCGGUAGUAUAACUAAUAUUGGCUAAAGGUUCUCACCGCACAAGGAAGGAAAGGAAGCCAUUAGUGAGGUAGUGACAGAAUGGUGAAAAUUAUUGACUACCGAUGCGAUCGUUGAAAGUGAAUUUCGGAUAUAUUGCGUUUGCAAACUUAUAGGCAAAAUUUCGUUUCCAACGAUCGUUCACAGCGUGAAAGUGUGCGCACAAUCCUACUAAACACGUUUGAAAGGCCACAAGGGCCUCUCUUGUUUUUUUUUGUCCUCUCCUUACCCACGUAGGCUAGCGUACGAAAGAGUGAUCUUACUAAAAGAAAGGAAAGCAACACAGACGAUCAAAUCGUGUGUCGUUGUUGCAAGAGAAACAUUAACCCUACUGAGAAAACUUAUAGUAUGAAUAACGAAACACAACAAACUACACACUAUUAACCGUUGCUAUUUACCAUUUCCUUUCUUUUGGAACCCGCUAAACAACCCCAGAAGGGUGGAUUUAACGUCUUAAACGCGUAAAGAAGAAAAAAAACGUGCUUUCAACUAAAAACAAAAUCUCUGCUGGUGGGUGUGUGGCACGCUGUGAUUGCACACUGUUUCCCAAAUACGUGUGACAAGAAAUCGGGUGGUUGGGUGAUUUAGUUUUCUCGAAAUUUCAAAUUAGAAUGAGCCACCUGUUUCGGACACGAUUAACUUUACGCAGUCAUCUGUCUGUGUGUGUGUGUUAAAGGAUGUUCGUCUUUUGCAAGACAUUGGAAAUAAUGCCGCACAGUUUCCGUUGAUACGGGUGUUUUAAUUCCCCUGUUUCCUGAGUCUCUGACCCGUGAAUAAUCUACCGGGCACUACGAAGAAGUUUGAGUUGUGUUUAAUUGAAAAGAGUUUCGAUUAUGUUACCUACCGUUGUGGAAGAAAAUGCUAUCUCAAUGAAAAU